rnacentral:lncRNA from 1 species
AAAAAAAGUGGAAAAACAAUAAAGGGGAAAACACAACCAGAGAACAACUUCACCUUUCCUUUCUAUCUUAUUAUUCUUCUAUACCAUGCAAUAACAAAUUCAUCAACAAUUAAUAUAUUUUCUUACAAGUUGGUGGAAGAAGAGAUCAUAAAUUCGUAAACAAAGUUAUGCUCUUCUUAUAGAAAAAAUCAACAUCUCCAACAAGAACCCACCAAAAAAUCUCCAACAAAACAAAGCGAACAAAACAGCAUACAAAGUACCUUUCGAUUAACAACGUCGAAAGCAAAAAAACGUCUCCUUUCGGUCGCCCCUGUCGACACUUCCUCGCAACACUUCGAUGCGGACAGACCUCCACAAAAUACCUGCAAACAACGACCAACGAAAAAACGGUGAACAAAUAUCACUUAGGUGGCGGACAGAGAUUGAGAGAGAAAGGUUAGAUAGCUUUGAAGGGCUUUCGUUUCGUUAGGGCUGUGAGAGAGAGAGAGAGAGACAAACAGACAGAGUGUAUGCGGACAAAUACAAAGGCCUUCCUCCAUAGAAUACCUGCAAACAACCACCAACGAUAAACGGUGAAGAAACACCACUUCGGUGGCGGACAAAGAUUGAGAGAGAAAGGUUCGAUAGAGAUGAAGGGCGUUCGCUUCGCAACGUUUGUGAGAGAGAGAGGCAAAGCGUUUCGUAAGAGAUGAAGGCGCGAACAACUUUUCAAAAAUUUGCUUCUUCCAAAAACGCCGUUCAAAAGCCAUUUUAAAUAAUUUAAAAAUUCAUU